rnacentral:rRNA from 1 species
CAUCCAGACUCCUACGGGAGGCAGCAGUGGGGAAUAUUGCACAAUGGGGGGAGCCCUGAUGCAGCGACGCCGCGUGGGUGAAGGAGCACCUCGGUGCGUAAAGCCCUAUCGGCAGGGAAGAAACAGACGGUACCUGACUAAGAAGCCCCGGCUAACUACGUGCCAGCAGCCGCGGUAAUACGUAGGGGGCAAGCGUUAUCCGGAUUCACUGGGUGUAAAGGGAGCGUAGACGGCGACGCAAGUCUGGAGUGAAAGCCCGGGGCUCAACCCCGGGACUGCAUUUGGAACUGUGUGGCUGGAGUGUCGGAGAGGCAGGCGGAAUUCCUAGUGUAGCGGUGAAAUGCGUAGAUAUUAGGAGGAACACCAGUGGCGAAGGCGGCUUACUGGACGGUAACUGACGUUGAGGCUCGAAAGCGUGGGGAGCAAACAGGAUUAGAUACCCGAGUA